GUUUUUGUAUUGGAAGGGCUCGU
rnacentral:piRNA from 1 species